GUAUUUCCGCCGGCGCGAAACGAGCGUAGCUUCCUUGUCGUGUGGCCUCAGUCCUUCGCCGUCCCUCGCCGUCCUUCGCCAUCGCACGCCACCGCACCCCAUCUCUCGAAAUCUGCAGACAUCUUGAUUUUUCCCACGCUGUCUGUCAGGUCUCCGCCGCCACUCGACGCCAGGGCGCCGGGCCUUGUGGGCUGUGCUGCACCUCGGACGGCUUCGCACCAGCCAGCGCCCUCUCUCUCCUGCAGCACUCUGAUCUGCACCCCCUGAGGGGCUUCCACUGUCCGCGGGGUGAGAAUGCCCCUGGGAGUGUCACAUGACUGCCGCCCCAUGUGUGUGAGAGGCGUCCUCUGGGAGAGCAUGGAUCCUGAGGUCCCAGGAUUGUCAGCUGACCUCUGUCCUGUGUGCCCAGUGGCCCCAGGUGACGUGUCUUCAAGAAGAGGCUGAGCUGCGGUGCUUGUAAGGGUCUCAUUCUGUCACCCAGGCUGGAGUGCAGUGGUGCAAUGAUGGCUCACUGCAGCCUCGACCUGGGCUCAAGUGAUCCUCCACCUCAGCUUCCUGAGUAGCUGGGACCACAGAUGGGUCUGCUGUGUGCAGAGGCUCCAUGGGAUGUGUUGUCUUCAUAGUAGCAGGGCGCUGGACCAUGGGUCCGCAAGGUCUCAGCCUUAGAUCCAAGGACAGUCCAAGGAAGUCCUAAGACCAUGGAGUUGGUGAUCUGGGAUCUGGGUUUGCUGAUAUUUCUCACCGUGAAUCUCUUGGUGGUGUUUGUGGGCACGAGAGGGGCAGAGAAUGGAGAGUGAGGCUACCACAUGAAGCGUCACCAGAGCUGCUCCCUGCUGCCUGCUCAGAGCACCCCGGAUCCACUGUUCAAUCUGCACAAGAUUCGGGGUCCAGACAUGGGAGACUUCAGCUGCCUCAGAGGACCGUGGACAGGGAAGGCCAGCCUCGCAUCCCUCUGUCCAUGCCUGGAAUGACUUUAAUAACCAAGAGUUUUAUUUUUGAAUUUGUAGCUGUCGUUCACUUUUUACCCACCCAUUCAAUAAACCUUACAGAAUUGCUCCA
rnacentral:sRNA from 1 species